rnacentral:rRNA from 1 species
AUUGAACGCUGGCGGCAGGCCUAACACAUGCAAGUCGAACGAGUGGCGGACGGGUGAGUAAUGUCCGGGAAACUGCCCGAUGGAGGGGGAUAACUACUGGAAACGGUAGCUAAUACCGCAUACCAUCGGAUGUGCCCAGAUGGGAUUAGCUAGUAGGUGGGGUAACUGCUCACCUAGGCGACGAUCCCUAGCCGGUCUGAGAGGAUGACCAGCACAACUGGAACAAAGACACGAUCCAGACUCCUACGGGCGGCAGCAGUGUGGAAUAUUGCACAAUGGGGGAAAGCCUGAUGCAGCCAUGCCGCGUGUAUUAAGGAGGCAUUCGGAUUGUAAAGUACUUUCAGCGAGGAGGCGUUACUCGCAGAAGCAGCACCGGCUAACUCCGUGCCAGCAGCCGCGGUAAUAC